UACGUAGGGUGCGAGCGUUAAUCGGAAUUACUGGGCGUAAAGCGUGCGCAGGCGGUUCGUUAUGUCCGAUGUGAAAGCCCCGAGCUCAACUUGGGAAUGGCAUUGGAAACUGGCGGGCUGGAGUGUGGCAGAGGGGGGGUGGAAUUCCACGUGUAGCAGUGAAAUGCGUAGAGAUGUGGAGGAACACCGAUGGCGAAGGCAGCCCCCUGGGCCAACACUGACGCUCAGGCACGGAAAGCGUGGGGGGCAAACAGG
rnacentral:rRNA from 1 species